rnacentral:rRNA from 1 species
GACGAACCGUGCAAACGUUGUUCGGAUUCACUGGGCUUAAAGGGCGCGUAGGCGGGCGGUCAAGUCAGGGGUGAAAUCCUCCAGCUUAACUGGAGAAGUGCCUUUGAUACUGAUCGUCUUGAGGGAGGUAGGGGCAUGUGGAACUCAGGGUGGAGCGGUGAAAUGCGUAGAUAUCCUGAGGAACGCCGGUGGCGAAAGCGACGUGCUGGACCUCUUCUGACGCUGAGGCGCGAAAGCCAGGGGAGCAAACGGG